rnacentral:rRNA from 1 species
CCUACGGGUGGCAGCAGUGGGGAAUAUUGCACAAUGGGGGAAACCCUGAUGCAGCGACGCCGCGUGAGUGAAGAAGUAAUUCGGUAUGUAAAGCUCUAUCAGCAGGGAAGAAAAUGACGGUAGCUGAGUAAGAAGCCCCGGCUAACUACGUGCCAGCAGCCGCGGUAAUACGUAGGGGGCAAGCGUUAUCCGGAUUUACUGGGUGUAAAGGGAGCGUAGACGGCAGUGCAGGUCUGGAGUGAAAGGCGGGGGCUAAACCCCCGGACUGCUCUGGAAACUGUAUGGCUGGAGUGCAGGAGGGGUAAGUGGAAUUCCUAGUGUAGCGGUGAAAUGCGUAGAUAUUAGGAGGAACACCAGUUGCGAAGGCGGCUUACUGGACUGUAACUGACGUUGAGGCUCGAAAGCGUGGGGAGCAAACAGGAUUAGAUACCCCAGUAGUC